UAAAGGGAAGGGUAAACCCCUUUGAAAUCCCUCCUGGCCAGGGGAAAGCUCCUCUCACCUGUAAAGGGUUAAGAAGCUAAAGGUAACCUCGCUGGCACCUGACCAAAAUGACCAAUGAGGAGACAAGAUACUUUCAAAAGCUGGGAGGAGGGAGAGAAACAAAGGGUCUGUGUCUGUCUGUAGUCGUCUUGGCCGGGGAUAGACCAGGAAUGGAGUCUUAGAACUUUUACAUCAUGUUAUGAAACAGGUGAAAGAAUCUGAUUGGCUAAGGAAGAUUUCUACAAAUAUGGACCCAUCCUAAGCAACUAUAUUCAAGCAACCAUGAGGUGCACAACUGGUUUUCGCAUUCUCUUGGGAUAACAUGCUGGUCGUGGUACAGUUGUGUCCUGACCAACAGGAACAUUUGGUGGUAAGGAAUCAACUGGAUCUGGUACAGCAUCUACUGGAUCUGAUGUAGGGAGAUGUGGAUCCUUUUUUCAGAUGGGAAAUUCCAAGAAGAAACAUUAGCCCCUGUCAGAAGAUAAGAGUAGAUCGUUAAAUAGCAGAUGCAGAUGUGCCCUUGAUGAUCUCCCACACUCCCACAGAUGUGCCCUUGAUGAUCUCCCACACUCCCACAGAUGUGCCCUUGAUGGUCUCCCACAGCAGCUGAGUGCCUCACUCAGAUAGGGAAAAGAAAUUGGAGGAGUAAAUAGACAUGUUCAAGGAUGUGCUGCAGUCUCCUGGUGCUUGAGAUUAUGAGCAGAGAGCCUGGAGGGAGGCAAUAGUGCGGAAUUGCAGAGGGAUAGUGAGGAUAGGAAACUGGGGCAGGAACAGAUGAUAACGCUGCUUGGGGAGCAAACAGACAGGAUGCGGUUCCUGAUUGAACUUCAGGCUGAACACAUCCAUGUCCAUCUCCCACUGAAGCCCAUACAGAACUGCCUUCCUGCACCUCCCCCCUGAUUCUUCAUUUUCUCAGGAGCCUCAGCAGUACCCCAAGCACACCACCCUGAGGCAGGGGUGAAAGUAAGUUAAAGGACUUACCGGUACGCCGGAGUCCUGAGCAGGGGCCGUGGGUUCAACCGGAAGAGGCAGGGCCUUAAAUCCCCGGGCCCUUUAAAUCUUGAUUUAAAGGGCCCAGGGCUCCAGCUGCAGUAGUGACGGCUGGGAGCCCCAGGCCUUUUAAAUCACCCCCGAGCUGCCAGCUGCAGAGGCGGCUGGGAGCCCCAGGGCUCAGGGGCGAUUUAAAGGGCCCCAGGCUCCAGCUGCAACUACCGAAGUGGAGCCCCGAGCCCUUUAAAUCACUAAGGAGCCCUGGGGACUCCUGGCUGGCACUGCUACCCCGGGGCUCUGGCAGAGCUUUAAAGGGCCUGGGGCUCCACUGUGGUAGCGGCGGCUGGAGCCCCGGGGCCCUUUAAAUACCCACCGGAGGCCCGUCGCUGCUACCCCAGGGCUUUAAAUUGCCAUCUGGGGAAGCCGGUCCCGGUACGGCGCACCGGCUCUUGCCGGUAUGCCGUACUGGGGCGUACCAGCUUACUGUCACCUCUGCCCUGAGGGAAGUUUCACACAAUGAUACCUGGACACACACCCAGCUGUGUGUCCUCAUUGGCAAAUGUGCUUGUGAAUUUCCUAUUCUGUCCCCUUUAAAGAUGCUUCCCCCUGUCUGUAUGAUGUGUAGGUUACCCAUUAGUUCAUGGGUGUGGAAUAAAACUGAACUUUUGGAACGUGA